AUAUGAAAUUAGGCCCUAGGUGAAAACCCCUAGCUAGCCCCCGCAGACGAUAAGACCCUAGAACCUUUACUAAGUUUAGCUGGGAUAGCUCUAUUAAUAUAACAAAUUACAAAUAAUCAUCUAUAACCAGUCUUACCGCUCUUAAAAGAAGGUACUCUAGGGAUAACAGCRCUACUCAGCCCACAAGUCCAAAUUUAAGGYUGAUUUAGUGACCUCGAUGUUGAAUUAAGUUCCUCACCCCCGCAACAGGGUCCUGAG
rnacentral:rRNA from 1 species